GCCGGAGUGGCGGAACGGUAGACGCAGGGGACUCAAAAUCCCCCGGGCCUCGCGCCCGUGCAGGUUCGAUUCCUGUCUCCGGCACCA
rnacentral:tRNA from 2 species